rnacentral:rRNA from 1 species
UAGGGGGCAAGCGUUAUCCGGAUUUACUGGGUGUAAAGGGAGCGUAGGUGGCAGGGCAAGUCAGAUGUGAAAACCCGGGGCUCAACCCCGGGAUUGCAUUUGAAACUGCCCGGCUGGAGUGCAGGAGAGGUAAGUGGAAUUCCUAGUGUAGCGGUGAAAUGCAUAGAUAUUAGGAGGAACACCAGUGGCGAAGGCGGCUUACUGGACUGUAACUGACACUGAGGCUCGAAAGCGUUGGGAGCAAA